rnacentral:miRNA from 1 species
GGGCGAACUCCGGUCAGCUGACACGUCCCGGCCAAUCUCCAGCAGACCCUCCCUCCCAGACCCUCCUACUUCCUGGACAGCAUCCAGAAGUAGGAGGGUCUGGGAGGGAGGGUCUGCUGGAGAUUGGCCGGGACGUGUCAGCUGACCGG